UCCGCAUGGAUCUGCGGGAAAAGGAUUUAUUCGCUUCAGGAUGGACUCGCGUCCAAUUAGCUAGUUGGUGAGGUAACGGCCCACCAAGGCGACGAUUGGUAGCCGGACUGAGAGGUUGAACGGCCACAUUGGGACUGAGACACGGCCCAGACUCCUACGGGAGGCAGCAGUGGGGGAUAUUGCACAAUGGGGGAAACCCUGAUGCAGCGACGCCGCGUGGAGGAAGAAGGUUUUCGGAUUGUAAACUCCUGUCGUUAGGGACGAUAAUGACGGUACCUAACAAGAAAGCACCGGCUAACUACGUGCCAGCAGCCGCGGUAAAACGUAGGGUGCAAGCGUUGUCCGGAAUUACUGGGUGUAAAGGGAGCGCAGGCGGACCGGCAAGUUGGAAGUGAAAACUAUGGGCUCAACCCAUAAAUUGCUUUCAAAACUGCUGGCCUUGAGUAGUGCAGAGGUAGGUGGAAUUCCCGGUGUAGCGGUGGAAUGCGUAGAUAUCGGGAGGAACACCAGUGGCGAAGGCGACCUACUGGGCACCAACUGACGCUGAGGCUCGAAAGCAUGGGUAGCAAACAGGAUUAGAUACCCUGGUAGUCCAUGCCGUA
rnacentral:rRNA from 1 species